rnacentral:rRNA from 1 species
GACGAACGCUGGCGGCGUGCUUAACACAUGCAAGUCGAACGGGGCGAAGUGAUAGCUUGCUAUUAUGGAGCCUAGUGGCAAACGGGUGAGUAACGCGUAGGCAACCUGCCCUUCAGAUGGGGACAACACCUCGAAAGGGGUGCUAAUACCGAAUGACGUUUCCUGGUCGCAUGACCUGGAACCAAGGCCGGNAACCGGUCACUGAAGGAUGGGCCUGCGUCUGAUUAGCUAGUUGGUGAGAUAACAGCCCACCAAGGCGACGAUCAGUAGCCGGUACUGAGAGGAUGAACGGCCACAUUGGACUGAGACA